GGAGGUGUAGCUCAGUGGUAGAGCACUUACCUAGCAUGUACAAGGUCUGGGUUCCAUCCCCAGCAUUGCCA
rfam:Ictidomys tridecemlineatus contig058672, whole genome shotgun sequence.